rnacentral:rRNA from 1 species
AGUCGACGAUGAACCCAGCUUGCUGGGUGGAUUAGUGGCGAACGGGUGAGUAACACGUGAGUAACCUGCCCUUAACUCUGGGAUAAGCCUGGGAAACUGGGUCUAAUACCGGAUAGGAGCGCCUACCGCAUGGUGGGUGUUGGAAAGAUUUAUCGGUUUUGGAUGGACUCGCGGCCUAUCAGCUUGUUGGUGAGGUAAUGGCUCACCAAGGCGACGACGGGUAGCCGGCCUGAGAGGGUGACCGGCCACACUGGGACUGAGACACGGCCCAGACUCCUACGGGAGGCAGCAGUGGGGAAUAUUGCACAAUGGGCGAAAGCCUGAUGCAGCGACGCCGCGUGAGGGAUGACGGCCUUCGGGUUGUAAACCUCUUUCAGUAGGGAAGAAGCGAAAGUGACGGUACCUGCAGAAGAAGCACCGGCUAACUACGUGCCAGCAGCCGCGGUAAUACGUAGGGUGCGAGCGUUAUCCGGAAUUAUUGGGCGUAAAGAGCUCGUAGGCGGUUUGUCGCGUCUGUCGUGAAAGUCCGGGGCUUAACCCCGGAUCUGCGGUGGGUACGGGCAGACUAGAGUGCAGUAGGGGAGACUGGAAUUCCUGGUGUAGCGGUGGAAUGCGCAGAUAUCAGGAGGAACACCGAUGGCGAAGGCAGGUCUCUGGGCUGUAACUGACGCUGAGGAGCGAAAGCAUGGGGAGCGAACAGGAUUAGAUACCCUGGUAGUCCAUGCCGUACACGUUGGGCACUAGGUGUGGGGAC